GGCGGACGGGUGAGUAACGCGUGGGAACGUGCCCUUCACUGCGGAAUAGCCCCGGGAAACUGGGAUUAAUACCGCAUACGCCCUUCGGGGGAAAGAUUUAUCGGUGAAGGAUCGGCCCGCGUCUGAUUAGGUAGUUGGUGGGGUAAUGGCCUACCAAGCCGACGAUCAGUAGCUGGUUUGAGAGGAUGAUCAGCCACACUGGGACUGAGACACGGCCCAGACUCCUACGGGAGGCAGCAGUGGGGAAUCUUGGACAAUGGGGGCAACCCUGAUCCAGCCAUGCCGCGUGAGCGAUGAAGGCCCUAGGGUUGUAAAGCUCUUUCGCCAGGGAAGAUAAUGACGGUACCUGGUAAAGAAACCCCGGCUAACUCCGUGCCAGCAGCCGCGGUAAUACGGAGGGGGUUAGCGUUGUUCGGAAUUACUGGGCGUAAAGCGUACGUAGGCGGAUUUGUCAGUCAGAGGUGAAAUCCCAGGGCUCAACCCUGGAACUGCCUUUGAUACUGCAAGUCUUGAGUUCGAGAGAGGUGAGUGGAAUUCCGAGUGUAGAGGUGAAAUUCGUAGAUAUUCGGAGGAACACCAGUGGCGAAGGCGGCUCACUGGCUCGAUACUGACGCUGAGGUACGAAAGUGUGGGGAGCAAACAGGAUUAGAUACCCUGGUAGUCCACACCGUAAACGAUGGAUGCCAGUCGUCGGGCAGCUUGCUGUUCGGUGACGCAGUUAACGCAUUAAGCAUCCCGCCUGGGGAGUACGG
rnacentral:rRNA from 1 species